AUCCUUUUGCUGAGGCAAAUGCUGAUGACUCGGGUGCUGGGUCAAAGGAGUAUGUGCAUAUUCGUGUACAACAGAGAAAUGGUAGGAAAAGCCUGACAACUGUUCAGGGAUUGAAAAAAGAAUUCAGCUAUAACAAGAUACUUAAAGACGUUAAGAAAGAGUUCUGUUGCAAUGGCACAGUUGUUCAGGACCCAGAACUAGGACAGGUCUGUGUUGACACUCCCCUCUUUGAUAAUGAUCUACCCAUUGUAUCUUCAGCUAACAAGUGUUUGUGGUCGUAGGUUAUUCAACUUCAAGGUGAUCAGCGGAAGAAUGUUUCUGCCUUCCUAGUCCAGGUAACCGUCCUCAUCUUUUGUGUUAUGAAGUGUAUUAUAAUUUCUAUGAUUACAUAUCCAUAUUGAUUUUCAUCUUUUCGAUUCGCUUCUUUCUGUACUAUUUUCAUUAUUGUGCUUUAAGGCUUAGUUUGUGGAAUCUCCCAUUUCAGAGAAUGAGUGACUUUUGAAAAUAUACUCUGUUAGUCUUGAAUGUGUUGCAAACAUAGCUGGUCGAUCUGUAAUUUUGCACUUAUGAGACAAUAUCCAAUAUUUUGAAAUUGUAUGUUAAAUGUGAACCUAGGCCCCUGUAUACUCUUCUAAAGUAUAGAAAAUUUAUUUAACUUAAUAUAUUUUUAUGCUCAAGAAAAAGAAAGCUAAGAAAAACGAGAAGGAAGCACAAAUAGAUUUUAUUUGUAUAAAUCAUGGUUGGGUCUUAGCACACAAUGGUUUGCGAUAUUGUAAUUUAAUUGAUGGUAUCUGUAACACUAGAAAAUGGAUUAAACAUGUCACAUACGAACAAGUAUAUACUUCUAUUCAUUCCUCUAGAGAUAUGGGAAAAAAUUGUAAUUGUUUUCAAAGAAUGUACCAUGAAAUAUUUGGAUACUGGGAUUCUCCAUCUAAUCAUCUUGUUGGUUGUUUUCUCUUGUGAAUGUUAACAGGCUGGUAUCGUGAAGAAGGAGCAUAUCAAGAUUCAUGGUUUCUAAGCGAUUGGGGUCUCAAGUAUCAAGUCUUACCAGCUAGCCUAUGUGCUGGGCAUAGAUAAUUUGAGUUCUGUUAUUGUGGUAUAUCUAGUGUGUUCUGGUAUUUAAUCAUGUGACGUGGAAUUAUGGAUUUUAGAAUAUUGUGUUAUUUGCUUUUAAGACAUAUAUGAAAAACCAGUUUAAUCGACUUCUAUUCGAUCUUUUAACUUGUAAAACCUAGGUGAAAAAGAAAAAAAGAAGAGGUGAGAAAUAUUAGAGAAAUUGUUUUGUAGUAUUGUUUUAUUUAUUUAUAUUAUUAGUAUUAUUUUUAUUUCUUUGUUAUAAAGAAUUAGAUUUGAAAAAAAAAAAGAAAAACUGCAGUAAUGGAUUAUUCGAAUGUUUUAAAACCACUCUACUAUUACAAAAUACUAUCGAGUUCGAUAUGUUUUGACAACUUUUUCCGAAAAUUAAUUUUAGCUUAAGUUGAAUAUAAUUUAUUUUUCUAAUUUCAAUUUCAAUAAAAAUUGUUUUUUGAACAAAAAUUUACGUUGAUUUUUUAUGUGAUUUUCCCCCGUGAUUUAUAUAUAAGAUAAAACUGCUAAUGAUAAGGUGGUUUUAUUGAGAUAAUUGAUGUUAAAGAAAAUAGAAAUUUGUUCAUUUAAAGAGUUUCAAUUACCUAAAAAUAUUCGAUGAAGAGGACAUUUGACUAAUCUUGGUCUAGAAGGUAUGAAAUUGAAAAUAUUUAGUUAGAGAAAAAGUUUUGUAGCACUCACAGUUAGGUAAACUUUUAUAUGCUUUUUCAAUUUAUAAAAAGAAUUUAUAGUUUUUAAUAGAUUAAACUUUAUGAUUAACAUUGAUAAGGUUGUUGUUGUUAUAAUGAAUAUAUUCCUUACUCUUUUUCUAUCAGAAAUUUUAACCGAGUUAUCCAUUUUUGUUAAAGGUUUUUAAUGAUUUGCUACCAGUUAUUUUGUUUGGGUAUUUUGAUUCAGAAAUUUUAAAAUUCAGCAGCAACAUCAAGGACCUAAAUUUUCAAGAGAAAUUAAGAAUUCAAAAUAAUACAAUUUAAAAUGCUGUCACAUUCUUUCCUCUUAUUUAUUUUUCCAGCAAGAGUAUGUUUGUUUGGACGUCUUGUGUAUGGUUUCAUAUGGAGAAAAAACAAAGAAGUCAAUCUCUUUAGUGUUAGAAAAGUAGAUGUCCAUUAGCUAAAAAUUGGAUACCAAACCCAUAAUAUACUUGGAUUUAUUAUUUCCUAAGAUAUUCACCUUUUGAAAUGUCAUGCUUCUUUCUUGUUUGUUGAGGUGUCAUCACAAAUAUCAUUUAGGUUGGCUUGAUAUAGAUGACUAACACAUGAUGCUGGGUGAGAAACGGUCUAAGAGAUUCUGUUACUUUUCUCUCUUUUAUAAAUGAUAGAGGUCUUUUUCUUAUUUUAAAUUUUGUUAUGUUGAAAUACUCUAGAUAAGGUAAAUAUUACACUUCUGAUAAUACAAUUUGUAGUAACUCAGAUGAAGUUAUAAUUUUGGGUUGUAUACUUAAAAAUGUUUUUUUUUAACCAAUUUUAGAUUAGAUAAUAUGUAAACUAUGUACUUAAUUCAAAAGUUAUUUUUUGUUAAUUUCGGAUUACUCAAUCUAAAAGGUUACAAACCUGAAAGUUUCACUUUAUUUCAAUACCAUUACAUAACCAUUAUCAUUCCUACUAUAUCAAUCUUCAUCUAUAAUGCCAUAUACACUCUCCCCUCAUCCAUGCCAACUUCGAAAAAGUCCAGUUGUCAAAGGCGAGCCAACAAGCGAAGCUAGGCAUAAUCAAACUUUUGGUUGGAGGCAUAUAAUUGACUAAGAUGCAACAAUGAUGAUCCUUCUAGGUUUUCACAGUUUUCUCACAUGAAUUUGAAUGUAACCAAGUGGUUCUUCUUUCAAAAAUUCAAUUUUGGUACAUACAUAUUAUAUAAUAGAGGCUCUACACAUUUAAUAAUAUUAUAUUUUCAUUCUAUAUUUCUCUAUCCUUUUAUUUCUCUCUGGCUCUCUCUUUUAUGCUUAACAUGGUAUCCAUUUUUCGCAUCCUUUCCUUGUUUGAGUGUCCAUGGCUUUUGCAACCUAUGCCUCCACCUCUUCCUCCUCUGUUUCUCUACACCAUUUUCAUACACGGAUUUUUCUCAAGCUCGAUGAAGAAAAUUUUCUUUUAUAGAAACAACAGGUGUUGGCCACGUUUGAUGGCCUUAUGCUCUCGCAUUUUCUUGAUGAUUCUUGCAUCCUUAUGAUGGCACUGUCAUGACAACUCCUGCUUAUAUUCUUUACAAACAACAAGACAAUUUGUUGGUGGCUUGGCUUUUGGCAUCAAUGACAACACCAUUGCUAACGCAAAUGGUUGGCCUUCGUUCUGCUGCCCAGAUUUGGACCACGCUGCACACUUAUUUCUCGUCUCAUACUCGAUCUCAGAUCAAGAAGCUCAAACUCAAUCUCAAACAACUCAAGAAAGAUCAAUCUGUCUCAACGUAUGUUCUCGGCAUCAAAAGAACUGUGGAUGCUCUUGCGUUAGUCGGUGCACCCGUAUCAGUAGAAGAUCAUAUCGAAGUCAUCUUGGAUGGUCUUUUGUCCGAUUAUGACCCAUUUGUUGCUUUUGUUUUGUCACGAGGUGAUCCUUAUAUUGUUGCCGAGAUCGAAGCUCUUCUUCUGGUUCAAGAAGAGCGUCUUGAGUGUCACAAUCAAGUCCUUAAUGCUUCCUGCCACUGCUGCAUACACAUCCUGGCAUCAUGCAAAUCCAUCUUAAGAAAAAUACAAGGACAAAUUUUCUAGUUCUUGUGGUACCCGUGGCUCGGGCAGAAGCAACAAUUUUAAUCGUGGUGCUCGUAUGGCUCGCUCUUCCAAUCGUGCUGCUUGGAAUAAUUUCAAGAUAUUUUGUCAAGUGUGUGGCAAACCCGGUCACAGCCUUUCAUUGCUGACACUGGUAUGAUUAUAAACCUCAACCUUCACCGCAUGCCAAUGUUUCUCAUUUUUCAGAUUCUGAUAAUGCAUCGACUGAGGCAUCUCUGUUGGGCAUUAUGGACGAUCCUCUUUGGUACCCUGAUAGCGGUGCCACUCAUCAUGUCACAAAGGAACCCACUAUCUAUUCUUCAAAACAGCCUUAUCAUGACACUGAAACUGUCAAAAUGGGUAAUGGAUCAGGUUUGUCUAUUGCCAAUAUUGGUUCCACAUAUUUUUCUUCUUCUUUUACUCAUAAAAUUUUUGGUUUUAAAAAAUCUUUUACAUGUUCCUUUAAUUACAAAGAAUUUCCUCAGUGUGUCUUCUUUUGCUCGUGAUAAGAUUGUUCUGUUUACUUUCACCACUAAUCAUUGCUAUGUUGUUGAUCAUACUACGAAAAAGAUUCUUCUUCAAGGCACCCUUAAAGAUGGCUUAUACAGUUUCCCAAUGCUUCAUAAUCAUCUUCCUUCGUCUUCAGUUUACCAUACUUCUUUAACUCAUAAUACACUGAUUGCUAAUGUUUGUCAUCAAAGACUGGGUCAUUGUAAUAUGGAUACUCUCAAAAAGAUUUUUCACUUAGUUUUUGUUCUAGCUACCUUCUUGGUAAACAUAUGCAAUUGCCUUUUCAUUCUUUGUUACUGUUUACACAAACCUUUAGAACUUGUGUUUGCUAAUGUGUGGGGACCAUCUCCUAUACCAGCCUCCAAUGGUGCACGUUAUACAUAUCUUUUGUUGAUACUUAUAGUAAGUAUACAUGAAUAUAUUUUCUUCAUACUAAGUCACAGGUUCCUGCUGGUUUUCAAAAAUUUAAAUCUUUUGUUGAAAAUCAAAUGUGUUCUAAAUUGUGUUCUUUACAAACAGAGAAUGCCCGUGAAUUUCUGUCUUAAAAAGGUUCUUGAUCAGCAUGGUAUACAACACAAACUCAUUUGUUCUCACACUCAUGAGCAAAAUGGUGUUAUUGAGUGUAAGCAUAGGCACAUAGUUGACAUGGGAUUAACUCUCUUGGCCACUGCUUCGUUGCCUAGACGUUUAUGGGCUAAAGUUUUUCUUACCUAACUCAUAUUAUCAAUGUGCUUCCUAUUCCUGUUUUGCAUAAUUUUAAUCCUUAUACUAUGUUGUUUAACAAAAAUAUCGAUUACACUAUUUUCAAAGUUUUUGGAUGUGCUUGUUUUUCUUUAUUAUGACCUUAUAACAUGCAUAAAUUUGUUUUUCAUUCACAACAGUGCUUGUUUCUCAGGUAUAGUGUCAACAACAAAGGUUAUAUAUGUCUAACUCCUUCUGAUAAGACAAUUGUUUCCAGACAUGUGCACUUUAAUAAAACCGAGUUUUCAUAUAAUGAAAUUAAAUUCUUUUCCUAUUUCAUCUGUUUCAAUGUCUUCACCUUUGACUACACACCCUAAACCCAACCUACCCCUAUGACCUCAUCAACUCGUCUAUAGCAAGACUCCUCUGAACCUUUUCAAGAUCCAUCUAUGUACAGGUCAGUUGUUGGUGCUUUGCAAUAUAUUCUUAUAACGCGACCUGAGUUAUCUUAUUCAGUUAACCGUGUUUGUCACUUUAUGCAUGACCUUAAACUACACCACUAGCAAGUUGUGAAACGCAUCUUACGCCAUCUAGCUGGAAUCACCAAUUAUGGUCUUUUAUUGAAACAUUAGUCUUCAUCCUCCAUCAUUGGUUUCUCAUAUGCAGAUUGGGGAAUUGAUGUUGAUGACAGGAAAUCAACAACUGCCUACUGCAUCUAUCUUGGCUCAAAUCUCGUAUCAUGGUCUACUAAAAAAAAAUCUAUUUCCAGAAGCUCAACAAAAGCUGAAUAUCGUGUUGUUGCAGCUCUUCUUACUUAAGUUAUAUGGACUUAGUCUCUUUUAUCAAAAUUACGUAUUCCCUUUCUCAAGAAAGCCAACGUUGUACUUUGAUAAUCUUGGUGCAGUCCUUCUUAGUGCCAAUCCUGUUAUGCAUUAAAAAAUACAUUUUGAGUUGGAUCUACAUUUUGUUCGUGAUCAUAUAUGCAAGGGAACCAUUAAUCUUCUUCAUCUUCCUGCACGCUUCCAAGUCGCGGACCUUCUCACCAAACCUGUAUCUAGAAAUUUGUUUCUUAAUGUCAGGGAUAAACUCAUGGUGGUUCUUAAUCCGACCAUGAGUUUAAUAGGGGGUGUUAACCAUAAGGUUAUAGGUUCUCUCUAACCUUGUAUAUAAAGGAGGCCCUUCACAUUUAAUAAUAUCAUAUUCUCAUUCUAUAUUUCUCUCUCCUUUUAUCUCUCUCUGGCUCUCUCUUUUAUGCUUAACAAAUACAAUUAGGAUUUAGAAUUUUGAAUGUUCCUUUCAUGAUUGGGCUAGUGUGUUUGGUGCAUGAGUUAUGUUAGAUCUAAGUUCAAUAUGUUACAUCUUGGUUUUAAUAGUGUAAUUAAAUAAUUAAGUAUAAAAUAUAAUUUUAUGUGUAUUAGACCAUGUUAAACACAAAGUACUAAUCUGACAUAUCAAAUGCAAGUUGUAUGGUUAGACAAAUGCAAACGUUAUUUAAUAUAUGUUUCGUCUGACACAUACAAAUGUUGUCCACAUGGAUAAUCUGAUAAAUUUUUGCUUGAACAAAUGCAAGUCCAAAACAUUUCAUAAUACAUGUCAAACUUUAACAAAUAUUUGUUUUAUACUUGUUGAAAUUCUACACUUAUUCAUUCUUUCAAGAAGAUCUCACAAUGACUUGUCAACGUCAAGAUCUGUUGAAAAACAUGUUGAAAGCUUCUUGAUGAGCAUAGUUUUAUUCAUAUUUUAAAGCUUUAACCAUAGAUUAUUGAAAUAUAAUAAUGAAUAAAUUCAUUAUUUUAAUUGAGAUUAAUCUAAUUGGGUUUAUUUUUCCUUAACAGUUAUUUUUGCUAAUUUUGUUAUUGAACUAGACGGUCUAAUGAUUACACACAAUAAACGAUCACAUAGUAGCAUCUGAUUAGAUGGUCCGAAGGAAGCACUUAUAAUUACAAAUGGGCCAAAGCAUGUGAAAGUCCAAGUUAGUUCUCUGAAUUAAAACAAGAAACAAAAUACAAGAAGAAGAAUAAGAGAAUAAAAUUUAUAACAUCUCAAAAAAUAGAAUUGGAAGCAAAUAAUUCUCGAAAAUAUGAAGAAACAGAUUUGCAAUUAGAUAGGAAAUAAAAUAUGAGAAUUCUGGAAAUUUUUAAAUCGAGAAAUUGUGAACAAAAUCUAAACCAAAAUAUUUUUUCGAGAUCAUUAGAGCAAAAAAACCAACAAAAAAAUACAAGCUUCAAAGCUUGACAACAAAUUUUGAAAAACAAAGCAUUAACAUUUUCUUAGUUUUCUUUAUUUUCUUCUUUGUAAUUUUUUUAUUUAACCUUCUCAUGGAAGACUAAUUUCCUUUGGGUUGAUUCUCUUCUAAUUUCCUAAUGAGUUAUGAGGUUUCUGUUCAAUAAAGUUUUAUUCCUACAUUUCUUUUUGAAUUCAGGUUUUUAUUAAGAAUUUUUUUAGUGCUUGUUAAGGAUUCAAUUCUCUUAUUUAACUAGAAUUCUAGAUUAGUUCGCUUAAUUUUAAUCAAUCUCUUGUUUCCUUAGUUCAAGGGGUAAAAAAUAAACAUAUCACGAGUAGACACUUGGAUAUGAGUUAGAUAUUGAAAACAUUAGAAGACACUUGUUUUGUUAAUUAUAUUUUGUUGAAUUUGAUUAAUGCUUGUUUGAUUAAGUUUGACAUCUGUGUGAGAAUUGAAAGAAUGAAAAUCCUAAGAUAAUCAGUGAAGAAUUUUCUGUUGAAUGAACUUGAGAGUCAACCUGCUUUUUUUACUAUGUUAUAAUCGUCUAUCUUAAUUUUCUACAUAACAAUCUCAAGUUGAGGCCAUUCCUCGAGCGUGGAACAUGGCAAAAGUUGCAUUUGAGCUAAGAUAUUCUUGCUUAAUGCUUUCAUUUUGAACAAUGUGAUGGUUAAGUUUUUUUGAUCUAUUUGAAUUAGCACACUGUAAGUCAACCUAACUCGGUGUCAGUACGACCACUCGAGUAUGGGUGCCCCGUGAGUAAAUGAUUACCUAGUGGCAGGUAAGACGGGGGGCUUGUGUACCAUGCGGGAGAGCUCGUCAUCUCGACCCAAGUGUUUGGGGGAGGUCAUCUCAGUGUUUGGGCACAAGAUGAUGGAAGAGGCCCCAACACCAAAAGAGCGUCUAGGACCAACCUUGCAUGAAAGGCAACCAAGAGAGUGUCUAGGACCAACCUUGCAUAGAGGGCACCCACAAGAAGCGUCUAGGCCACACAAGAAGCGUCUAAGAGAGAUGACAUCCAAGAAGGUUGACGUCCAAGAAGGCCCAACAAAGUGUAGCUUAGUCUUAAUUGUGGUGUAAAUAGCAUAACCUUGGGAACCUUUGUUAAUUUCUGUAAAUUAGGAUUAAGGAGGAGUUAACCUAGAUUAGCUACGGUUUCUAGAAGCUCUCCACUAAUCUAGGACAUCCAUGUGCAAGUUAGGAGGCCAUGUGCACCCAUGUGCCAUGUGCUCCAUGUGACUCCAUGUGCUACUCUUUUGCAUUUCAUUUGGUUUGCAUUUGCUCAUCAUUUAGGUCAUCAUUUCAGGUCCUCUUUAGCCUAUAAAAGGAGGAGCCAACCUCAUGUAUUUUUUAAGAUUGAAUAGAGUAUUGUUAUGUUGCCAAAUUUGUGCCAUACACUACUCUUUGCCUAGCAUCUAGGUUUUAAUCUUCACUUCAUCACCUUCAAAGGGGCUGGCCGAACCUCCCCAAUUCCCCACUCUCAUGCACCUUCAAGGCACCCAUACUUCCUAGGAAGGCCUUGCUUCAUCUCCUCCACAAGCUUCUGCAAGUUCAUCACCAAAACGCAAAGAAGAGCUCAAAGGAAUGCCAUCACAAGAGGUGGGUCGUGAGCUCAACCCAAAUCUUGGUCAGCCCAAAAAAGGUAAGUAAGAUAAAGAGAAAUUUUGUCUAUUGCGAUAUUAUUCUGAAGAUAAAAGAUAAAGAGAUAUUUUAUCUGUUGUGAUAUUAUUCUUAAGAUAAAAGAUAAAGAGAUAUUUUAUCUGUUGUGAUAUUAUUUUGAAGAUAAAAGAUAAACAAAUAUUUUAUCUGUUGUGAUAUUAUUCUGAAGAUAAAAGAUAAAUAAAUAUUUUAUCUAUUGUGAUAUUAUUCUUAAGAUAAAAGAAAAAGAGAUAUUUUAUCUGUUGAUAUUAUUCUGAAGAUAAAAGAUAAAUGGAUAUUUUAUCUGUUGUGAUAUUAUUUUGAAGAUAAAAGAUAAAGAGAUAUUUUAUCUGUUGUGACAUUAUUCUGAAGAUAAAAGAUAAAGAGAUAUUUUAUCUGUUGUGAUAUUAUUUUGAAGAUGAAAGAUAUAAUUCUUAUUAUUUAAAUCUGUUAUCAUAUUAUGAAAACAACAAAUAUAUGUAAAUUUGUUAUCAUGUUAUUCUGAAGAUAAUAUAAAUGAUUAAGUCUGUUGUGAUAUUAUUCUGAAAAUGAAAUAUAUAAUUGUUAUUGUUUAAAUAUGUUAUCACAUUAUUAUGAAAAUAACAGAUAUAUGUAAAUUUCGGUAUCAUGUUAUUCUGAAGAUAACAUAAAUGAUUAUUAUCUUUUAAGUCUGUUGUGAUAUUAGUCUGAAGAUGAAAGAUAUAAUUAUUAUUGUUUAAAUCUGUUAUCAUAUUAUUAUGAAAAUAACGGAUAUAUGUAAAUUUUUUAUCAUGAAGAUGACGUGAGUGAUUAAUUAUCAGUUAAAUCUGCUGUGAUGUUGUCAUCAUCAUCAUCAUCAUUAUCAUACGGGAGAAAUUAUUAUUGUUACUGGAUAUAGAGUGUAGUAGUGUAAGACUACAUAUCUAGGAAUGUUUUGGCGAGGAAAUACUUGGUAUUUAAGUGCGUCCGUUGGUGACCCACCCCUCUUUCCUAGGAACUUACCUGGUGUACUAGUCCACGGUCUACAAUCAUUUUUCUAGUAAACAUUAUUAUUCAUAGCGUAUAUUUCAAUUUUAACUCUAUGGCAAAAGAAAAAAAGGAGAUAUAUGCAACAAAGAUCAAACACUUUGAUAAAUUUGUCAUAACUUAUGUGUCGAGAAAGACAAAGGAUUAUGUCCUAUCGUAGCUCGACAGUAAAAGGCAGUACAAUACCAAACUUUUAUACUAUACAGAAUCAUAGAAGUGUUGGGCAACGAAGCUUAUCGGCUGGAAAUUCAGGACGGUGGAGUCAUCCCACGAACGUGGAAGGUAGUAAGUCUCAAGGGUUUUUUUAAUGAGGUCUCCAAGUAAUAAAUUUGUUUAUGGGAAAUUUACGAGGGUGAAGUUAUCCGAUUGAGCACAUGGUAAAAUGACCUAACUCGGAGCAGACAUAGCUACUUGAGUAUGGGCGCCCUGAUAGAUGAAUUGACUUGAAAUAGGUGUGGUCAUCCAAACUAGCACAUGGUAAGAUGACCUAGCCCGAAGUAGAUUUAGCUAUCCAAGCAGGCGCCCUGUGAGGCGAGUUAACCUGGAACAAAUGCAGUAAUCACACCCUAGGACAACCCGACUUAGGGGCAAGUAUAGUCAAAGCUUAUUGUCCGACCAAGUUCGAGCUUGGAUAAACCUGAUCAAGUGGAAGUAAUGGACUGUUUGACCAACUAGAAGCAUGUCGAUCAUCAAAAGGUUAGUCUAUUUGUUAAGAGUCAAUUUUAUUACUUUAUGCGCUUCGUUUCACUCAGGUUAGCGAGUUUAUAUUAUGUUAGCCAUGCAACAUUUAGGGUAAAGGUCAGUAUAGUUGGUAAAGCAUUUAUGCAUACAUUCAUAUGACAUAGUUACCUGAGUAGGCACAUGAUAAGACGACCUUUCUCGGUAAGAUUAUCCAAGUAAGUGCCUUGCAAGUAAAUUGAUUAUCUAUCAUUAGGUAAGACGACCUUUUCUUGGUAAGAUUCCGAGUUCAGGCACUUUGAAGUUUUAUCGGCCAUAACUAAGAUUGUUUGGCUUAGGUCAGGUAAGACGACCUGUCUCGGUAAGAUUACCCGAGCAGGCGCCCUGAGUAUCUACUGUCAGGUAAGAUGACCUGUCUUAGUAAGAUUAUCCGAGCAGGCGCCCUGAGUAUCCAUUGUCAAGUAAGACGACCUGUCUCGAUAAGAUUAUCCGAGCAGGCGCCCUGAGUAUCUAUUGUCAGGUAAGACGAUCUGUCUCAGUAAGAUUACCCAAGCAGGCGCCCUGAGUAUCUAUUGUUAAGUAAGACGACCUUCCUCGAUAAGAUGAUCCGAGUAGGCGCUCUGCGUGUAAGUUGAUUUUCUAUUGUCAGGUAAGACGACCUUCCUCGGUAAGAUGUUCCGAGUAGGCGCUUUGUGUGUAAGUUGUUUUUCUGUUGUCAGGUAAGACGACCUUCCUCGGUAAGAUGAUCCGAGUAGGCUCUCUGCGUGUAAGUUGAUUUUCUGUUAUCAGGUAAGAUGACCUUCCUCGGUAAGAUGAUCCGAGUAGGCGUUUUGCGUGUAAGUUGAUUUUAUGUUUUCAGGUAAGAUGCCCUUUCUUGAUAAGAUGAUCUGAGUAGGCACCCUGCGUGUAAGUUGAUUUUUUGUUGUCAGGUAAGAGAACCUUCCUCGGUAAGAUGAUCCAAGUAGGCGCUCUGCGUGUAAGUUGAUUUUCUAUUGUUAGGUAAGACGACCUUCCUCGAUAAGAUUAUCUGAGUAGGCGUCUUGUGUGUAGGUUGAUUUUUUGUUGUCGGGUAAGAUGACCUAUCUCGGUAAGAUGAUCCGAGUGGGCGCCCUAUGUGUAACUUGAUUUUCUGUUGUCAGGUAAGUCGAUCUGUCUCGAUCAGAUUACCCGAGUAGGCACUCUGUGUGUAAAUUGGUCAUCUUUAGGCAAGUAAGACGACUUAUUUUGGUGUCAGUAUGGCCAUCCGGGUUCAGGCGCUCUGCGUAUGAGUAUUGUCACUAUGUUGUUUAAAAUGCGUGGUAUGUCAACCUGGCUCGGUGCGUGAGCGAGCACCCGAGUUCAGGAUUUAUGCGAGAAAGUUGGGUAAUAUGUAGUGGAAUCCCCCACCUAUAACUAUGAUGGUUGAAGGGUGUUUUUCCAUACGAGCAACUAUCCAAGUUCAAGCACUCUCAGAAAUGGAUGAACUGUACUUGACGUAGAGUAAGACAGUCAAGCCAAGGAAAGUGUAAAUACCCGAGUAAGCACUCAGCACAAAAAAAUCGGAUGAGAUCGAGAUAUACACCUAUAUACACCGAGUUUGAGCAUUAGCUCGUAGUGCCUAUGGGAUAUAGUUCAACAAAAGGUUAGUUCUUUGUUAAAGAUGAACUCUUGUUAUCUUUUUUAUUCCAUGAUAAAAACGAGUUAGCUUAAGUGAUAAGUUUUCUGCAUGUGUAGUUGUUAUACUUAAACACGUGUGUGUUAAUAGAAGUUGUUGUGCUUAAGCUAGUCGAACUCUAUUAUGGCAUGAAUUUGCAAAAAGCAUUUAUAUAUGACAAGGUAAUUAAAAGAUAACAAGUGAAUUACUGGUAAAUGAUAAAGAGUUCGAAGGGUAUGAGGAAUUAAUGUUUACAAAUAAUUAAGCACUCCGCUCACUCAUCCCUUAGUUGCCAUCAACCACGGUUUUACCCGGGCCAAGUUUGUGAGGUACACCUAUGCAAGUCGAGAGUGAGCAUGAGCUUGCCUUAGCUAGGUGUGUGUGUGUGGUUCAUUAAAAGGUUGGUUCUUUAGGAACCCCAGGGUUUUUCAUGCCUAGAUUUAGCAUUGAUUUCUUAAUGUAUUGUUUUUAUUUUUGUUUUGUUGUUUCUAUUUAUUUAUUCUUAAUUUCUAUUGUUGUUUUUAAUUUUUUAAAAAAAUCUGUUUUUUUUCAAUUUUAUUUUUGUCUUCAACUUAAACUUUAGUUAUGCUUUCCUUUUAAGGAAAUUUGUGGAAGUUAUCUAGGAAAAACUGUUGGCUAAAGUGGAUGGAUUUGAUACGCUUAAAGCUUAGCUUUGUAGUCUACAAAGUGUUUGAUGUGUGUGUUUAAGUAGAUUUUGUUGUAUCUGUUUCACUUAGUAUUAUGAUUUAAGACAUCUCCAAGAAAACAUUUUAAAAACUUGUUAUGUUUUUAAAUUAGUUGAUUUAGGUUUUAAUCGGUUAAAAUCACUUGAAAUGAAGCCUUGUGUCUUUAGUAAAGUAUUUUAAUAGGUUGAUUUAUCAUAUCAAUUAACUGAAAAUAAUACUAAAGUCAUUUUAAUGAUUUAAAAGUCAGAUGUCUUUAGUAUUGACCUUAAGACUUUAAUAUUAAAUGUUUUUAUCUUUUCUGUUUAAUGAAAUCAACCAGUUAUUUUGAUAAAUAAACCAAGGGUGUUAAGUAGAUUUCUUUUGUUAAUGGAAAAAUCUAGUUAUUUUAGAUAAUUAUUUAAAUAUUUUUAACAGAUUUAUGUUAUGUAUUUUUGAGUUAUUGGAGAUUAUUUUCAUCUUGGAUCUUUCUGUUGUGUGAAGAAGGUUUUCCUGAGUUUGUAAUUUGCUACUUUCAUUCUUUGUAGUAGACUUAGGUGCUUUCGUUUCAUUCUUUCUUGUAUUUUGUUCUUUGGCAGAUCCAGAUAGGGUUUCUGGUUUUUCUAUUGUAUUUGUGAGAGUUUGUUUUUCUUAAAGGGUUCAAGGAACAAAGCUCUUAUGAGUAGUUCUUGUGUAAUCUUUGAUUCUGUGUUUAGUGAAUUCUUAGUGGUGUGCUGGGGACUCGAUGUAGCUCUUGGUUAAGAGUGAACCAGUAUAAAUUCUCUGUGUGAUUCUCUCUAACUCUAUCCUUUUACUGUACUGUUGUUUUCUGGUUUCUGGAUAGAAUCAAUUAAAUAAACAUAACAAUUGGUUUAUAUUUUAUUUUUAUGUGUUCUUCUCUUUUUACAAUCGAUUGAACAAUGAUUUCAGUUAGUUUAUUUUUAUGAAAUUUUCAAUUUGACUUAAACAAUUAUGAAAAUUGUAAAAAUUCCUUGAAAACAAUUCACCCCUCUUGUUUUUAAGCCACAUAUCCUAACAAAAAUUAUAGCUAGAAAAUACUUGUUGUAUUUGGAUUGCUUGGUUAUUUCCUUGUUUUUGCAUGACUUCAUCUUUUGAAAAAUCUACACAACACCAUUGUUUUGUCUUCAUCAAAUAGGGGGACAUAUUUGACUAAAGUGGAUGGAUUUGAUGAGCUCAAAGCUCAACCUUAAAGUCUGCAAAUAUGUAGAUGUGUGUGUGUAUGUUUAGGUAGAUUUUGCUAUAUCUUUUUCACCAGGUAGUUGAUUUUUAUGAAAUUUUCAAUCUCACUUAAACAAUUAUGAAAAUUGCGAAAAUCCCUUGAAAACAAUUCACCCCCUCUUGUUUUUAAGCCACAUAUUCUAAUAAAAACUCUAGCUAGAAAAUACUUGGUACUUAAGAGUUUCCAAUUUUGACCAACCUCUCUUUUUUUAGAGUUUACUUUGUAACUUUCAACACCCUUUAUCUAAAAAAAAACAUUUUAGAAUAGAUUGUCUACUGAUAGAAACGUCUAAAUGUUUUUCAUUACAUAUUUAUUCUGAUUUUGAUUUUUAAAUUGGUAUGGAUUUAAACUAGUUUUCAUCUCGAAAUUAUGCUUCAUUUCAUUAUGAUCAACAAUACAACUAUGAGAUGCAUUUGUUGAUCAAGAGUGAUAAAAGGCUUUGAAGAAUCCAAAUCCAUGUGUUUGAUGUAAGGCUGAAGUUGCUGCUGUGUUUAGGAUAGGAUCUAGGUAGUUUAUUUGUGUAAUUCACUCUUUGUUGAAUCUAAAGCUAAUGUGUUUUAAAACCUUUUUGAGUUUAAAGUAUUUUUCAAACUAAGUGAAAAACAACCUGUUGUUUUGUCGAAAAAACCGAUUGUUUUACUCUUAGGUGUUUUUGAAAAUGUUGAAAACUGUUUUGGUUGAUUGACUUGCUGUCAAACCAAAAACAAUCGAUUGUUUCGUGAUUUCAAUCGAUUGUUUGUUUGAAAAUCCUAAUAAAAUUUUGUUUUGUUAGUUGAGUAUGCUUUAAAUGAUUUUCAACUAAAUACGCUCCUUUAUUAAAUGCUUUGACCAAUCUUUGAAAGCUAUAAAUAAUUUGUUUAUGUUUUAUAACAAAAAGAGAAAAACAGAUUUGAGUUUUUCAGUUGUGAAAGAUUGCUUUCAAGUUUUGAACAUUCACAUUCAACUUUGGUUUUUCUCAAGAGAGAGUGGAAUAGGAUUACAUUUGUAUUGAUUUCAGAUUGUUCUGUAAACAAGUGUAAUUUGUUCUGAAUACUUUGUAAAUUCUGGUUUUGUUGCCAAGGAGUGUUGUGUGCUCUUGAGGUUGUCAAGAUCAACAUUCUUGGUGUGUGCUAUGCCAAAGGAAGUGUGUUUCUUGAAGGGUUCAAGGUCACUUCUUUGGUGGUUUUGUGUGUGUAAUCUGUAUUGAUUGCUUAGUGGAUUGCCCAGUGGCUUCUGGGGACUGGAUGCAGCUCUUGGUUUAAGAGUGAACCAGUAUAAACUGUUUGUGUAUCUCUUUCUUCCCUUAAACUCAUUUAAAUUCAGUUGUUAUUGAUUUGCUGGUAUAAACAAUCGAUUGUUUCGAAGAAACAACCGAUUGUUUUUUGGGUACUUUUCUGUUUUGUGCUUUAUAUCUUGGCUAACUGAAUUUCUGAUUGAGUUUCAUACAAAGGAUUUUGUUCUAGCUGAAAAAGUUUUCAAAAACCCCUCUUAAACAAUUCACCGCCCCUCUCGUUUAAGGCCAUAUAUUCUAACAGCAUUGUGAGUGAUAUUUGCAACAAUCUUUACAGUUUUAUGAGCACCCUUUGCAGCACAUUAAGCCCUACUUCCAACAACCACUGCAAUCUUUUGAGCCAUAUUCCUAAUAGUUUUAUGAGCCAACUUUUCAGCAGCCUUAUGAGCUAUAUCAUUCUCAUGAGCCAUAUUGUCAGCAGUACCCUUAUGAUGAAUAUGAGCAAAGUCAAUCACCCUUUCAACGUAUUUUGCAAUAUGACAUUACUCCUAAUUUUGAAAAAAACAUAUUUAGAGGAGCGAGUGAGACAAUUAAUGUUAAAUACAAUAAAAUCUCAAAGGUUGGUCAAUUGGCUAGACAGGCUGAAGAUAUUGCUAAGCAAAGGUUGGAUUCACUUCAUGAUCCUAAUUCAGAUUUAGCAAAAUUUUCAGAAUUCGAUACAAGCUAUAUUUAUGAUUUUGAUAUAUGUGUUGAGAUUAAUUCUGCUAUGCCUCCUAUUUUUAUUUCACUUGCAGGUACAAAUUCUCUUCUAGGUAUAAACCUUCUUUCAGGAACAAAUCCUUUACCAUAUGAGGAGACUACUACAAUUGUUGAAAAAAUGUAUUGCUUUGAGAGUGUUGAUGAUACUUUCACUUAUAUCUCAUGUACUGGUAAAAUAUGUGUUGAUAUAGACACUUGUAUUACUACACCAGUAUCAUUUAACAAACCAAAGUGUAUAGACAUAACCAUAGCUACUAUUUUUUAUACUGACCCAAUUGAUUUGCAGGUUGAUGAGAUCUUAGGACCAUUACCAUCUACUACCCAACUACCACUGAUGGGGAUAAAACCACUUUUUAAUCAAAAGGCACUAGACACUAUGAAACAUUUUGUUAAGGAUCAUUGUGCAUAUCAUAUUGACACUAAGGAUGAAAAUGUGUUUGAGUUUCUUGGAAAUUUUAAUUUUUCUAAUCCAACUAAUUGUAUAGAUGCUGAGAUAGAUGCGUUUAUAUCGUCUAAUUAUUGUUAUAAUAGUUGCAGGGCAGAUUUUGAUACACUAGAGAUCAUUGUUCCAAAAUGAUUAGGCUCAACUAAGGUAGCUACAGACACAUCUAGUUGAACAAAUUUGAAAGAUAUUGAAGUCUCUUUAGGCACUUAACAUCCUCUUGCGCAACCAGCACCACCUACUGACCCACUUCUCACUCCAUCUUCCCCCAGCUAGAUCGUCUACCAUUUCUAGACAGUCUAGUCAAAGCUCCCACCACCAUCCCACCCAAACUAAACCAUCUUCACUACCACCUAAGAAUAACCUUAAAUACUCAUAUUCCAUCAACACCAAACCACCAUUCGACCCUUUAGGACACAUUCCCACAUCGCCACCGCUAACGACCCCAUAUUAGAAAAACCCAUUAGACCGUCUAUAAUGUAUAAGCCUAUCUUUCCCAUCUAUUCAUCACACACUACCACCCAUUCAUGGAACCAUCUCUACCCUCCUUACAUUCAUCCCCUCACCAUUUCAAUCUCACCUUGAUGUACAAAUGCUGUCAAACCAAUUCAAUCGGUUGUUUCGACAAAAUAACCGACUGUUUUUUUAGCUGCCUUAACAAAAUUCUGUUAAGUUUGUUAAAUAUGCUUUAACUGAUUUGAAACUAAUUUGGCUUUUAUAAUAAAUGUUUUCAACUGCUAAUUGGAGUAUAAAUGUUUUGUUAUACGCUCCUAGUAAAUCACUUACAAGAUCAGUUUUUUAAAUCAAGUUUUCUCCAAGAUUGCUUAAGGCUUUGGAUAUUUCUCUAAGAGUGAAGUAGGACUUGCUGUGUACUUUGAUUUGAUUUGUAUCAGGUGUGAUCAAUCCUAUUUCUUCUUGAUUUUUAAUUUUGUAAAGUAUUGGUGUUCAUAGAGUCAGAGGGUGUUCUGAUCUGUGGUGUGUUUGAGUGUGCCAAAGGAAGUGUGUGUUCUUGAGGGGAUCAAGAUCACUUCUUUGGUGGUUGUGUGUUUGUAAUCUGAUUUUUGAUUACUUAGUGGAUACCCAGAGGUUUCUAGGAACUGGAUGUAGCUCUUGGUAUAAGAGUGAACCAGUAUAAAAUUGCUUGUGUGUUUCUUUCUCUCCCUUAACUCUUGUAUAUAUGUUUUUAGUUGUUUUUACGCUUUGCUAAUAGAAACAAUCGGUUGAAUCGCAGAAACAAACGGUUGAAUUUCUGGAAUUCAACUAAAAUUGUUUUCUGUCUUGUAUUCUUUGAUUCCUUUGGCUAUGAUUCUUCUUUGACUUUCUUCAUACCUUCAAAACUUUUGAAAAAUAUUUGAAAACAAUUCACCCCCCUCUUGUUUAAGGCCUACAAUUCUAACAGUCUACCUUCAUGAUAAUCCACUUGUGAGCUCCCUUGAGCCUAUAGGCUUUUUCUUGUUUUUUAACCCUCAUAAUAAGCCUAAAAUAGUAAAACCAUGUUUGUAACUACCUUAGAAGGUAAAAAGAGCUUUGAAAUUAUUUUUGGAAAAGGUUCUUGAAUAAGUGUGGGGGUGUACCACAUUUCAUAACUUACAUUCUUAGUACUGAAAAAAUAGAAAAAGAAAAAAAUAACAAAAACAUAAAAGCAAAUAAAGAACAUAACAGUGGACUGUGGUUAGAUUGUCUAAUGCAUGAGAAAAUCAAUAAAAAAUGAUAUCUUUAAAUAAAGAAAGGAGUUAAAUUGUCAUAAUACUUACAUUUGGUUUUAGCCACAAUUGGUCCUUUGUUUUCUAUGGUUUUAAGUCUCUUUUACCCAUUUUACAUGCAUUUACCUUGGCUCCAUUACAUCCCUUAUGAAUUCCUUUUAAUCUUUGAUUACAAGUUUUUCAAUUGUUGUGAAUAUUAGAGUGUUGCUAAUCAUAUGAUAGUGUUUGUUUGAAUGAGUGCUGGUGUAAAUACAAACCUAAACACUUUAAAGUUAGAAAGCGUCUAGCGAAAGUUCUGUAAUUCUUGAUUCAUCCUUUGAUUUCAAUUACUUGCUUAUGUGUUAAUAUAUAGGAAUUUCCAAUCACAUUUGUCUAGAUUAUUUGAUUUCUUGAAAUUAUAUCGUGCUUGCUAUUAUGCAUUUUUAGGAUCUGCUAUGAUUUUUAUCAUUUGAUUACACUAUAUUCCUUUUAUCUAUUAUGAGUGUAUAAAGUGCUUUUCCCGUGAUCUCUGUAUAAAAAGACAAGCAAUGUCAGUCAAUUACAUGAUAAAGUCCAAAAUAUUAAGCAAUGUUUAGAGUCUUACCCAUGAACAAGACAUGAGGAUCCUCACAAUAAGGGGCACAUUGAGGAAUCUCAUGUUGUUAAUUGGGUGAGGAAGACCUUUUAUUAUUUCAACAUCUACUCGCUCUCUGGGAGAAAGCAUAUACUUGCCUUAGGACAUGAACUUGUCUGAUAUUUACCAAUAUAAGGAGAAUCUAAGGGUAAAAUUUGGAUAGAAAAAAUUUGCUUUUGUGGAGUGCAUUUUAACUUGAAAACUAUAUUAAGUAUAAGCAAUAAAAAGAGGACCAUGUUGGAUUCCAUUAAGCGAAACCCAAUCGACCUCUACGCCAUGUUUGAGUUGUUAAAAAUACAUAAAAGUGUUUAUGAUUGGUCGUAUUUGAAGGUAGGUGCAUAGUACCUGAAAGGCCUUCAAGAAGGCCCAACUAUUGGAAUGUAACUGAUUUGGUGCCACAUUUAUGGUAGUCAACACACGACACUAAAAAAGUUAAAGAGAAAAAACAAUAUCGAUUUCUUUGAAAAAGUACUCAUAGACAUAUGUGAAGUCCUCAAUAUUAGGCUAAGGCUUCAUGAAAACUUUGUCACCCUUAACGUAAGGCUUAGCCGCAAUAAACUCGGCCAUUACAUUAGAAUAUACGCUAAAGAAGGAUAUAAACUCCUUCACCUUAUCCCUCGAGGUAAACUCAGAGGAAUAAGAGGCAACCUCGUUAAUUACCCAAGACUACUUGGGAUCGAAGAUCGAAAGGAACUUGUCUUUCUUUACCUUCUUGGCUAAGCUUGGCCCAGAGGUCUCCUCAACAUCUUGGGAAUGGGCUUUUCGCCUAAUAGAAGUGACACUACCCUUGUUCCUCCCUAAUGCGACUACAACCACCACUGUGACAAUCAUUGUUGUCGCGGUAAGGAUGACUUCAAGAAUAAUUUCUUCUAAGACAUUCCCUUCGACAAAGAACGAGUCGGUAUGACUCAUGGAGAGAUCUUCUCCCAUGGGACAACCUCUCUGCUCAUAAGAAGGUUAAUCCUAGAGGAGGAAAGAUUAUUAGAAGAAGAGGAAACGAAAGAAGUAGACAUACCUAAACAAGAACAAACAACAAAGGUAGGGAAGAAGAAAGUAAAGGCACAAGAUGAAGAACAAAAGCAAUAUCACAUGCAUGGACCAAUAAAAGUAAGUAAAAGAAGAGGACAUCAUGUUCUGUGAUUGAUUUUUAUAAGUUUUGUAAAUGUUUUAUUCAAAAACCCUAACGUUCAAAACGUUAUGAUGGAAGAGACAAGCACCAAAAACAAAGUGUCAUGUUGGUAUAGGGCAAUGUGUCCUUCAUGACAAAUUUUUGGUGAAACAUCAACCGCCAAACUCACAUGGCACCUCAAAACCAUAUAACUCAUCAUUAGACAUAAAAAUCCUCAUUAAUGUUCUUGGGGUUUUAUUCUCCUCAUUAUGACAUGUCAUUAUUAUUAUUUUAAUUACUAUUUAGUGACAAUAAUUACCAACUUAAUUGCACUUUAAUUAUCUUAAGUCCAGACCAUUGAGCUAGAUAAACUUGGACCAAUGAACUAUAUAAACAGUCGCAAAGUCCGACCUAUGACUAGUUGUGGAAAUACGAGCCACCUCUAAGGGCUCAACAAAGAUGUAAAUGAAGCUAAAAAUUAAAAUAAAAGCUUAAUUACCUUAAAACUGGGUUGUUGAGCUUGCAGGCUUGUGUAUUGUACCAAAGGAUAUUGAGUAGAUAAUACCCACCUGAGAUAGUAGGAAUAACCACAUGUGAAAUCUGCAGAACACGAAUAUAUUAGAAAUAAUUGACUUUUUUUGCCACUAGAAUUGGUUUGAUAUCCAAUAAUGGAUAUGGGUUACAGGCAUAUUUUCGCAAAUCCAAAAUUCUUUAAAUACCACCUCAAAAAGUAUUCAUAAAAAUUAAUAUACUUUUACUGAAUUAUCCUUUACAUAUCUCUAUAUUUAUACUCAAUUAUCCUUUAUACUUUUAUUGACUUUAGCAUCAUAGAGUAUUUAUUUGAUCUUCACUCAGUUAAGUUUUCAUCAUCAAAAUUCAGCAACUCUUUACAUAAAAGAUUAAUUAGCUCGUAUAGUUUUAAUUUCCACCUCAAAUAAUUCUAACUCAUCCUCUUUUAAACAAUAUAUUAUAAUUUAUAAUAAUAUUAUAAAUUUACCAUAUAUUAAUUAAAAAAUAUAAUUAUUAUAAAUUUAUAAUUAAUGAUAUUAUAUAAAAAAUAUUUUAAAAAUACGGUUUAGUAAUUGUGUAUCUCGUAGUCUUAAAGAGUAUUCUAGAAUUAUUUUUCUGAUAAAUGGAAACUCUCUUAUGCGUGUCAUCUACUCAAAGUUAGAUCCUAAUUUCUUAUACGUGAGACACGUGCCUCUCUUCACCUCUGUAUUAAAUAAAUUAAUUUUCUUCCAAACAUAACAACCAUAACUCAGUUUCUGGCAGACAGAGAAACCGAUCAAAGUUUCACCUCAGUCUUAUCCAAUUUAGGGUUUCGGCUUUUUACCCUAAUUUUCACGUAUCGAAACCUCAAAUUUAGGAUCAGGUAACCUCUGAUCAUCCUUUUUAAGAUUUCGUUUCUCUUCCUAGCUAAUUUUAGGGUUCGAUUUUUUGCUUUAUCAUCCAUCGUCUAAGUUUGCUAAAUUUUUACUCCGUAUUUUUGUUUUUCAUAUAUCUUACAUCUUCUGUGGAUUUGGUUUUGAUAUAGUCUUGAUCAGAUCUUUCAGUUAGAAAUCUUGUGUUUCUUAUUAGUGAAAAGGUGUUUUUUUAAUUCAAUUUUUUUUGCUGUUGAUUUUGGUGUAAAAUGAUGUUUGAGGCAUGGUAUUUUUAUUCUGUGAUGAUUUUCGACUGUGUGGUUCCUAGAUCGUCACUACUCGAGCAAAAUCUGAAAUCUAGGAAGGGAUUUUUAUUGGUGCUAUUUAGAUCUUGUGGAUUUUUCUUCUUCUAAAAAUAGUGUUUUAAAUUGCCGUGUAGGUUAAACUAAUUGUGUUUUUUUAAUAGCUUUUAUUUUAAACCAUUUAGUGUAAUUAGUUUGGAGCUUUAUUUUGAUAGAGCUCAGAAAUUUUUUAAUAUUUGGAAAUGGUCAUUGAUGUAAUUUUCUGUAGCUUGUUGGGUUGAAGAUUUUUUUUGACGUGACGGAGAUUAUUAAUGACAGGGAUUUUGCUUUUGUACUUACUUUUGUGAACUGUGCUAUUACGGUAAUUCAAUUUGGCUAACAUGUUGAUUGCAUUGUCAGAUCUGAGCAAUCUGGUUGGUGGAACCUUUGGUCAUAGAGAGUCAAGUUUUAUGUCUGAAUUAGACGCUCAAAUUCCCACUGCCUUCGGUAUGUUGUGACUUCUUGCAAAUGUUUUAGUCUGAGCAUGAAUUAUCUUGUUCAUUAUGUGUGAUAUUUCUUAAGGGGAUAAUUAUCAAUUCAUUAUACAUUUGUGAUUAGCAUUAUAUAUGUACUUGCAGAAACAGGACAUCUAUUGUUGAACUUCACAAUUCUAUGUUAUAGGCUCUAACUUCUAUGGCUUGCCUAUGUCUCACCAUUGUAAUUUUAUAAGUGAUCGUCUUAAGAGUCUAACUAAAUAUGUAUCUGUUCACUUUUCCAUUUAAUUCUAGAAGUUAUAUUGCUUCUAAUAUACAGUUCAGGGCAUUUUUGUCUGCUAACUGGGUGAUGCUCAUUUGUAUUCCCUGAGAGUGGAAUUUGGCAUUUCCUUUCAAUUUCGAGUCUUAUUAGGAGCAUGUUAUAAGACUGUUGUCCUGUAAAUUCAGACAUCUUAUAGUUUGCUGACGGUUGGUUUAUGGUGAAUUUUAUAUUAAGCUUUUCAAAUUUUGAGCUUUAUCAGGGACAUGUUAUUUUCAUUAUAAAUUUGAUCAUUUUCCAUGGUUGAAGACUGUUGUCCUCUAAAUUCAUACAAUCUUUUAGUUUGCUGGUGAAUUUUAUAUUCAGCUUUUCUAACUUGAUAUAUCAUUUGUGAAAGUUGUGUUAUUACUCACGCAUGCUCUCACUGUUGUCAUUAUUGUAUAUACCAUGAGGACCUGUCACUAUUGCAUGUAUAUGAGGACGUGUCACUAUUGUAUAUAUACUAUGAGGAGUUGUCACUAUUGUAUAUAUACUAUGGGGACUUGUCACUAUUGUAUGUACUAUGAGGAGUGCGUAGAUACUGUGAUUAUGUCAAUUAGGGUUAGAGGUUAAAUCUAAUCAAUGAUGUGUUUUCUGUCUGCCCUCAAUAUAUAGAUCCUUUUGCUGAGGCAAAUGCUGAUGACUCGGGUGCUGGGUCAAAGGAGUAUGUGCAUAUUCGCGUACAGCAGCGAAAUGGUAGAAAAAGCCUGACAACUGUUCAGGGAUUGAAAAAAGAAUUCAGCUAUAACAAGAUACUUAAAGACGUUAAGAAAGAGUUCUGUUGCAAUGGCACAGUUGUUCAGGACCCAGAACUAGGACAGGUCUGUGUUGACA
rnacentral:lncRNA from 1 species